UGAAAUCCUCCUGCCUCAAACUCUCAAAUAUCUGGGAUUACAGCUGACUGUACAAGUUCUCCCUGGGAGCAGAUUUCAGAACAAAAGUGAUCUAUAAACAGCACGAAAUGUGGAUUGCAUGGGUGAGGACAAAAGCUGCUGGAAGUGGAAAGAAGAGGGGUCAUAUGUGUCCUCCUACAGUUAUUCCACCUGAGUUAAAAGAAUGGAACAUUGGCACAUUCCAGAUCUAAGUGGAUAUUACCUUUCAGUCAUGAAUGUGAAUGCUUCAAAGCUUAUUUAAAUAUAUGCCAAAAUUUAUUUCAUUAUUCAAGAAAUAUUUAUGGAACACCUACUAUGUGUCAGUUCUAGGCACUGGGAAUAUAGCAGAACACAUAAACAAAAUCCUUGCUGUCCUGAAACUUACAGUGGUAAGUGGUGUAAUAGGAAGAUUAAAAAAAGAUUGUUUAUUCUAUGUAAAAUUGUUAAUUUUAUCAAAUGGUAUUAUUGCUUUUUUGAGUCUUUUAAAACCAAAUAAAUUUAAAUAUUUAAGAACAACAUUUUGUUGUGUAUGAAAGCCUGGAUAUAAACCUACAUAAUAUUUUGAGCUUUUUAUUCAGCAUUGUUCUAGAUAUGUUCCCACUGCAGCUAAUAAUGAGACAUAAAUAAGUAGUAUUUACAAGAAUGUUUGCACAGUCACUAUUGUAUAUAUAUAUAUAUAUUUGCUGAGAUAAAUUGUUAAUCAGUUAAAUGAAAAGUUAUGUUUGUGUGCYUUUAUAUUGCAUAUUAUUUACAUUCAAAUUAUUUGCAUAUGAUACAAAAGUAAACUUUAUUAUUUGAGAUUUUGAUCAGGUUUAUACCUCUCUAAGUACUGCUAAAUWUAGUUUAUUUAUGUUUAUAUUAUAUGUAUUCCUAAACAAAUGCUGUAAAGACUUUAAAAGAACAAGCUAUAUUUAAAUGUAAACAU